AAAUUCGUAAUUAUCGCAGAUUAUGGGCAGGAGCUAUUGUGAAUGACUUAAAAGAUGUAACAGUAGUGACAGAUAUUCCUUGAAUCAAUGUAAAUAUCAAGCGAUUAUAGGGAUCCUUCUUAACCUUAUGACUUAAUGUAAAUACCGUGUGAUAAGAUUUACAUUUGUGUGUAUAUAUAUAUAACUAUUCCGUAAUAUGUGAGUGUUUUUUUUAUGAUGUUGGGAUUUUAAAAGUCUACGCCGUUAUACAAGGACGGUGGUUCUCCUACAAUAGGAGGGAGAUACAAAAGAAGAAGAAGAAGAAG
rnacentral:lncRNA from 1 species